AUUAGGCCUAACAAUAAGUCCUCUUAAAACUGUCAUUUCCAGCUAACUCAUCGAGCUCUGGUACUAGGCGAAAGGCCGAAGAAAAUAGAUAUUGCAGCAGUAACAGGCUCCACAUUAUACCCAUCUACCAUCAAAAAUCUUUCAAUGCUAUUGACCUUUUAUUCUGCCAGUUUUAAGAGGGGACUGGUUGUUUGACCACGUGAUGACUCUCUUGCCCUUUGUACUUGGUAACAAUCAAAGUUUAUUGAGACUGUAAGUGGUCUUGAAGUUCAGAAACUUAGAAACACUGAUUGGGGUGAAUAUGUCAGCAAUAUAUUGAGAAAGUGGUCUAUCUUUAUUAAACGUUCGUUUUUCGAAAUAGUAAAGAAUAUUGCUUAUCAAUCCUGUAUGAAUAAAGUUCUAAACCAGCAAGAAACAAGCUCUGGACAAAGAUAUCUACAGAAAGAUGCUGAUCGUCAUCAGUGUAAUUGGGUGACGUAGCACAUUCAUCUCAUUCCAUGUAAAUCUGAUAAUGUUGACUAUUCCUACCUGUGGAGUGUGGCUAGAUUGAGAAAGAACUUUACCAGAAAACAAGUUAAUAAUAACAAAGAUCUCUACAGUCAAAUGAUAACCAGUGCAGUAACAAUGCAAA